GACCACUCUGUUGGCCUAGUGGUUAGAGCAUCUGCCUCAAAUGUGGAAGGUUGUGAGUUUGAACCUCAGCCAAGUCA